rnacentral:rRNA from 1 species
CCUACGGGUGGCAGCAGUGGGGAAUUGUUCGCAAUGGGCGCAAGCCUGACGACGCAACGCCGCGUGGAGGAUGAAGAUCUUCGGGUCGUAAACUCCUUUCGAUCGAGACGAACGACUUCCGGGUGAACAAUCCGGGAGAGUGACGGUACCGAGAGAAGAAGCCCCGGCUAACUCCGUGCCAGCAGCCGCGGUAAUACGGGGGGGGCAAGCGUUGUUCGGAAUUACUGGGCGUAAAGGGCUCGUAGGUGGCCAACUAAGUCAGACGUGAAAUCCCUCGGCUUAACCGGGGAACUGCGUCUGAUACUGGAUGGCUUGAGAUUGGGAGAGGGAUGCGGAAUUCCAGGUGUAGCGGUGAAAUGCGUAGAUAUCUGGAGGAACACCGGUGGCGAAGGCGGCAUCCUGGACCAACACUGACACUGAGGAGCGAAAGCCAGGGGAGCAAACGGGAUUAGAUACCCCUGUAGUC